rnacentral:rRNA from 1 species
GAUGAACGCUAGCGGCAGGCCUAACACAUGCAAGUCGAGGGGUAACAGAGAGAAGCUUGCUUCUUUGCUGACGACCGGCGCACGGGUGCGUAACGCGUAUACAAUCUACCUUACACUGGGGGAUAGCCUUUAGAAAUGAAGAUUAAUACCCCAUAGUAUUAUUGAGUCGCCUGAUUUAAUAAUUAAAGGUUACGGUGUAAGAUGAGUAUGCGUUCUAUUAGCUAGAUGGUGUGGUAACGGCACACCAUGGCAACGAUAGAUAGGGGCCCUGAGAGGGGGAUCCCCCACACUGGUACUGAGACACGGACCAGACUCCUACGGGAGGCAGCAGUGAGGAAUAUUGGACAAUGGAGGCAACUCUGAUCCAGCCAUGCCGCGUGCAGGAAGACUGCCCUAUGGGUUGUAAACUGCUUUUAUACAGGAAGAAACACUCUCACGUGUGAGAGCUUGACGGUACUGUAAGAAUAAGGAUCGGCUAACUCCG